AUUCUGCCAUAUACUACAAUGAUAUCAUCGGCGAUAUUUUAACGCCUGGUAAACCACGUAGUUGUUCCUGUAGUGUGCGUUGAAACCACUG